CCUACGGGGGGCAGCAGUGGGGGAUAUUGCACAAUGGGGGGAACCCUGAUGCAGCGACGCCGCGUGGGUGAAGGAGUGCUUCGGCAUGUAAAGCUCUAUUGGCAGGGAAGAAGCAAGACGGUACCUGACUAAGAAGCCCCGGCUAACUACGUGCCAGCAGCCGCGGUAAUACGUAGGGGGCGAGCGUUAUCCGGUUUCACUGGGGGUAAAGGGAGCGUAGACGGCUAUGCAAGCCAGGGGUGAAAGCCCGGGGCCCAACCCCGGGACUGCCCUUGGAACUGUGCGGCUAGAGUGCGGGAGGGGCAGGCGGAAUUCCUGGUGUAGCGGUGAAAUGCGUAGAUAUCAGGAGGAACACCGGCGGCGAAGGCGGCCUGCUGGACCGCGACUGACGUUGAGGCUCGAAAGCGUGGGGAGCGAACAGGAUUAGAUACCCUUGUAGUC
rnacentral:rRNA from 1 species